AUAUUUGAAUUAUUUCUUUUGAUUACUAUAUGCAUGACCAGGGUGAAAUAAGGUUGUUGAUCACAUUAAUCAUUUCUAACAGGUUAACUAAACUGAUAGGUUAGGUUUAGAUGUUGAUUUGAUAUAAAGCAAUUGUCCACUCAAGGCCGUGUUUUUAUCACAGUUAUCACUAUAUUGCUCAACCUGGCUGAUUGCUUUAUUUUAAGUCAAGUCUGCUUUAUUGUCAAUUCUUCCACAUGUACAGUACAUACAUACAGAGAAUCGAAAUUGCGUUACUCUCAGACCCCCGGUGCAUACAGAUAACACUAACAGUAGAGCCUAAAAAUCUAGAUCAAAUAUAAAAUAUAAGAUAAAACUAUACAAUGUCAUCUUCAGAGAUUGAGGCACAUUCUUUUUCACAUAAAUGACAUCAUUGUAAACAAACACAUCCAUGUCAUUCACUUCCAGAUUAUUUAAAUGAAGCCUGCUGCACUGUGAUUGGUUGCCAGAUUGGCUGCAAGUAAACUGGCAUUGACAUAUGUGGCAGCUCUCACGUUUGCACUUGCAUUGUUGUGUACGUGCUGAACAGUGUAUAGUAAACCGGUAAAGCGUACGUCUUCUCCUCUGAGGGCAUUUCACCCCAGGGCCUCUGCCGUACGUGACUGUGCUGGGGUUCUAUGCCUCUCUCCUUACCGAUAACGCUAAUGAACUUCCUGUGAUUUCCUGUAAUUGGGGCACUUUGGGCGGGACACACGUAGCUUGAGUCUGCAUGAACAAGCAGCUAAUGUGGAUGUUGUUUAUAUCCAGAUGAGGAACGAGCCGCGUUUGAAAUCCCGAGGUAUCUACAAGCUCCAAGAUAUCACAGGAGUUAGUCUGACGUCUGCCUGAUCUUCCUGAAGCAUCUGUUCACAUCCAGCGUAGCUGUCUCAGACAAUAACCAAAACGUCUGCGCCAAGAGAAGGACAAAGACGGGAACAGUUGCUGGCCUACACUUCUGGGAGCUGGCGUCGUGUGGCAUCCCUAAACUGGAGGGAGUGGGCUCAUUGUUUUGGGGGUCUUAAAAGGGAAGUCCCAUUACUCUGGAGAUUUGGCAAAUGCUUGGGACAUGUACUACAGAUCAUCCGAGCUUCCAUUGGAUCCUUUUCAAAUUGAAAAUACAUUAUAAUCAAGGCCUAAAAUUCACUAAAAUGUAGAGAAGUGUUGAAAAAAGAAAAAUGACAACCUUCUUUUCAUCUCCCACUGCCCAGCUUUGAAAGCACAUGCUCCCUCAUAAUGAAAGAAAAUGAGUGGGGCCGAUUAUCACUCUGAUAUGUGGGCCUUAAUGGGUGGACUUCAUUCCCAGAGGCCCAGAGGACCGACGCAUGAGACCAUGCAUUGCCUUUGAUUGACCUGCUAUCAAGCAUCGAGGUGCUGGGAAGCCGUGCUUGCCAGUUGCCCUCAUUGCUGAUAAGGUCAGAGGUGUGGAGGUCUCUCCGAGGGAACAGGAGUGGCGCAGAUCUCACAGUUGGUGGAAAACCAGAUUACACUGUGCCUUUGUUGCUACCAAGAUGGGAUUCAGAGAAAAGUUCUGGCAAAAGUAAAAAUCAUCAGCAUUUACUCACCCUUCAGUGUUGUUUCAUUUGUGAAACACAAAAAGAAGGAUUUUUUUUUAUUGCUGAGCACCAAAAAGAGCAAAUAAAACACCAUAAAAGUAGUGUUAUACAGUCUAAAAAUUUCUGCUAAAACAAUGUCAGCUGUGGUUGCCAGAAAAAUUGUGGUAGCAACAUUUUAGGCUUUAUGAUUUGAACUUACCUUUACAGUAGGAAAAAAAAAAAAAACAAACAAAAACAUUUCAAUAACUGACAUCGGUUUUGUUCUUUGGUCACACUUUAUUUUAAGGUUCAAUUCUCACUAUUAACUAACUAUAAACUACAACUUUUGUCUCAAUAAACUCUGCUUAUUAAUAGUUAGUAAGGUAAAGUAGUUGUAAAGUUAAGGAAUCUAAAAUAUGGUUGUGCAGAAUAAGGCAUUAAUACUGCAUGUGUUAUAUAAGUACCAAUAUGCUAGUAAUAUGCAUGCUAAUAAACAACAAGCAGUGAGAAUUGGUCCCUAAAAUAAAGUGGCUUGCCUGUUCCUUUAUAACACUGAGAAUCACAAAAAAGAAAGAAAGAAAAAACACACAGGUGGUAAUGAUUCAAGCUACAUAGAUCAUAGAUAAAAACUCAUUAAAAUAAUGCCAGAAACAUUAAUUUAACAACAUAAGAUGUAACGUAAAACUCUAAUGUACAUACAGUAACUGAUAAGAAAAAUAGUUCUUUUAAUGGAAAACCAUCAAAUAUCACACAGGAAAUUCUGGAAAUGUCAACUUCUGUUUUUUUCCACUACAAGAUGAAUUGUUCUUUUUCACUUCAAAAAUGGUCAAUUUAACCUUAUUAAGUAUAAGGUAUUAAGAAAAGUCCAAUUAGAUUUUUUUUUUUACUAAUGGAAAUUAUUGUUAACCAAUUAGGAAGUUUUUACCGUAGAAUUUUUACAGUCUUUUACUGCUGAAAUUACAAUCAUUUUAUGACUUGUGCACUAUAUUCCAAAUCAUCUGAAGCCAUACAAUAAUAGCUUAAAUAAACAAACAAACAGAAAAUGUACUGGUAAUAUUCUGCAAGGACAUUAUCCAUAAAUUUUACGGACAUUUCCGUUGACUCUAAAAUACAACAAAAUGCAGUGCAAAAAUUCAAAAUACAGGUAAAACACCUUUAAAAAAAUCACUAUGGAAAAUUCCUUAAUUUUGUAGUAUGAAUAACAGACUAAAAUUAUGUUAUUUACUGAUAAUCUUCCCAUCAAAAUUACUAUUGUGAAGCAAUUUGGAUGCUAACUUUGCUACUUUAUUUUGGAUCUCAAAACAGUCAGUUUCCAGGAUGUUCACACUCAGGGGGAUGAGGUUUUUAUUUUGAGAGAUAAGGUCUUAAAAUGAAUUCAAUUUUCUCUACCUUUGGCUUUGAAGAUAAGGUCUUGCAUCAUAGCUUUUGCAUGCUCGACUGCUCUGUGCUGUGACUGAUGUUGUUUUCACUUUAAUUCCAGUUAAAUAAACCAAUGCCACCAGAUAGACCCAUUUAGAUUGUGCUCAAUCACUGCCAAAAAGCAGACGUGCUCCACAGUGGAGCAUUAUAAAACUUCUUAUAUAGGUCACAUAGUAAUUGAAGUAAUUGAAGAUGCUUAUGCCUUACAGCUUUACAUGAAGACAUAGAAUUAAUCAUAGUUCUAUUCACAUCAGUAAAGCGGAGAUUUCGUGUCAAUAUUUAGAGAGUGUUCUGACUGAUUUGACACUUGUUCUAGCCUUGAAAACUUAUCAGAGAGUGAGAAUAACAGGCAGUAAACUUGUCACUUAUCAGUCAUGUUGACCUCGACCAUAACUGUUCUUCUGUCAGUUCAGGGAAACUUACUUUUAUCAUGUGUUGCCUGGAUCAUUCCAUGACCUUUGUGUUGUACACCAUCCAAAGCCUCUGUAAAUUUUGUCAGCAUUAGUUUUAUUGAUCAAAAUAUCAAUAUAACAUAAUAUCAGUGAUUUAAUAAUUUUUAAUUAUCUCAUUUAUUUUGUACAACCACAAAAUCUGGUCUGAACUUUUAUAUCACAAAGCUUUAUAAUAUUUCUCUGACUGUCAACUUUCAUGUAUGCAAUGCUUUGUCAAGCCAACAUAAGUUUGAUUCUGAUAAAUUUUCUAAAUGUUCUUGUAAAUAAAACGUAAUAUUUAAUAAAUGUUCUUUUAU